rnacentral:rRNA from 1 species
UCGACCUGAGGUCAGGCAAGAACACCCGC